rnacentral:lncRNA from 1 species
UUCUAUGAAAGGGACAAUUUAUUUAGGGAAACUUCAACACUCUAUAGAAAUGAGAAAUCACAAUGGGAGGUGUUUUGCUUUGUUAGUUUGUAUAGGUGGCAGCAGACUUAGGGUUUUUUUCUGUUCACUUGGAGCACAGACCAUUUGGACUAUGCCGGUUUCUGGGAAGCAUGAUUGGACAACAUGCCAUUACCAGUGUUCAGCAAUAUCCAGCUCUCUUCUUCUUUCUGGGCAGAUGGGAGACUAUGCUUCCCAGACGCUUGCAGUUAGGCAGAGCCAUAUAACAACUUCUGGCCCAGGAAACGGGAGCAGAAGCAAUAUGUGUCACUUUCAGGCCAAAGCCGCGAAAAGUCUCUCCACAGCAUCUGAGCUUCUCAUUCUCUUUGUCAAAGAACCAGGUCUGGUGUGGAGUUGGUAGAGCAACAGGCUAAAGCUGUAUGAAUUGCUGGAUCAUUGCAUGGAGGACAGCUGCCCUGGAGAGCUGCCUGGACCCACAGAGGAUUCCUAUACAUUUUUUUCACAUUAAGCCACUGAAGAAAAAAAAUACCACAGGAAAUUAACAAUUUUCAAAACUGUUCUUUUACCUAAAGCUCUUUUCAUAUCUUCAGAAUAUUUUCUUAGACACAACAGAAAAGAAAAUUAGGAGGCAAGAAUAAAAAAAAACUUCAAGACGGAAAAUAUUUUUAAAAUUUUCAUUCAGAUUUUUUUUUUACUUUUAAUAUAUCGGCAAGCAUAAGGCUAUCUUUGGUUUCCAUGCAACUGGCAUUGAUCAUGUUCGUGAAUAUAGCUAGGAUACCAGGGCCAAACCGUGUGUGCUCACUUGUUUUCCUGUCUCAGAACAACAUGAUACUGAAAAGCGGAGUCCCUCGUGUGAUGAAAACGUCUCCAGUUCGCAAUCAGUUGAAAAUGCAGUGGGCCCACAGCCAGAAAGCAUUCCUGUGCCGGAUCUUUUUUUCAGCACCCUAAAUUAACCAGCUGGAAUUCCCUUUUAAGUGCCAACCUACUCAGUUUUUCAGAAUGCAGAACUUUUCUUUUAAUGGGAUCUGUCUCUCAUCAUAAAGGUGGAACCGUGCAUUCUUGAUGUCUCUCAAAAGCAGUCUUUUUUAUACAGUAAGCUCAGGGAGGGUAAACACAGACGCCAGAGCACUGGUUUGAGACGGGGAUGUAGCCGCUGUGCAGAGACUCGGGUAGGGCACCGGCUAUCGCGGAGUGAAACCCUCAGCACAGUAUCCAGGACUGCCUUGUGCAGAACAGGUCAAGAUAAAAGAGGCUAUUGUAAAUAAAUAUUUAAAUUAAUUAAAUCUAUUGAUGAGGAAGAGCUCCAUGAUGUAGGAGCAGAAGAACUGAUGCAAUAUUUCAAAACUGAGGCUGGGCGUAUUCCCGCAGUGUUCCAGGCUGAGGCUGGGCGUGUUCCCGCGGUGUCCCGGGCUGAGGCCGGGCGUGUUCUUCCGGUGUUCCGGGCUGAGGCCGGGCGUGUUCCCGCGGUGUCCCGGGCU